rnacentral:rRNA from 1 species
UACGGAGGGUGCUAGCGUUGUUCGGAAUGACUGGGCGUAAAGGGUAGGUAGGUGGUCUCAUUUGUCUGGGGUGAAAGCCUUGAGCUUAACUCAAGAAGUGCCCCAGAAACGGUGAGACUAGAGUCCUGGAGAGGGUCGUGGAAUUCCCGGUGUAGCGGUGAAAUGCGUAGAGAUCGGGAGGAACACCAGAGGCGAAGGCGGCGACCUGGACAGGUACUGACACUCAACUACGAAAGCGUGGGGAGCAAACAGG